GGAGACGUGGCUGAGCGGCUGAAAGCGGCGGUUUGCUAAAUCGUUGUACUCCAAAAGGGUACCACAGGUUCGAAUCCUGUCGUCUCCGCCA
rnacentral:tRNA from 1 species